AGUCGGAAUUCGGGUGGUAUUAAAAACCACGCCCGCAGUCUUCCCUGCAGUCCAGGAGGGGGCGCUGAUUGUCUACGUGUGGCUCUUCAACUCCAGCAAAGCGGAGAAGCGGAAGAUCCCGCUUUGAUCCAGGAGAGAAAACCAGGAGCUGCGCCUCAUCAUAAACACCGCAGCUCAGAUCAACACACGGUGGAAGGCAGCGGGACUGGUAGAUGUCCUGUAAGGCUGGUAGUCUGUUGCCUAUGAUGGCUUCUGCCGUCCUCACCACUCCUUUAAGGGCCUUGAGGUCGCAGGCGGUGCAGCUGCUGUACCAGACAGUGAUGCAGGCCAUGAGGAAGCUCUCUAUGGUGCAUCUGUAGAAGUUGGUGAGGAUCUGAGGAGGCAGACCAAACUUCCUGAGCCUGCGCAGGAAGAACAGACGCUGACGGGCAGAUCUCACAGUAGUGUUGGUGUGGAGGGACCAGAGGUCUGCGCAGGACUGUUUUCUCCGCCAACAACCGAAACGAUUUGACCCGGUCCCAUGCACAUCCAAUAUCUGACACAGUCUGAUCACAAACACAUUAUCCUCUGCUGAAAUAACAGGGUUCUGCUCCCUGUGUCCACAUUCUCAUACUUGGCAUCCAGAAAAGGUUCCAGUACUCGGCGAACAACCUCUGGUGUUCUCCACGUUAGCACAUCAUGCAGACAAAUUCAGAAAAAUAAAAGAAAGAAGAGAAAUCUCCACUGCUCACUGUGUGGGAAACGUUGUCUACAGAAACGUCUCCAAAUUCACCAGCACAUUCACACAGGAGUGAAGCCUUAUCGCUGCUUUUACUGUGGGAGGAAUUUUAACGUCAUGGAAAAUCUCAGGAAACACCAGCGCAUUCACACAGGACAGAAACUGUAUCGCUGCUCAGACUGUGGAAAGAGUUUUACUUAUCAGAGUCUUUUCAAAAUACACCAGCGCAUUCACACUGGAGAGAAGCCGUAUUACUGCUCAGAAUGUGGGAAGAGCUUUACUUCACGGAGUAGCCUGAAAGAACACCAGCUCAUUCACACCGGAGAGAAACCGUAUCAGUGCUCAGAGUGUGGGAAGAGUUUUAACGUCAAGUCUAAUCUCAAAACACACCAACGCAUUCACACAGGAGAGAAGCCGUAUCACUGCUCUUAUUGUUGCAGGAGCUUUAACGUCAUGGAAAAUCUCAAGAAACAUCAGCGCAUCCACACAGGAGAGAAACCAUUUCACUGCUCAGACUGCGGGAAGAGUUUUACGCAACAGACUACUCUCCAAAAACACCAGCGCAUUCACACUAGAGUGAAGCCGUAUCACUGCUCAGAGUGUGGGAAGAGUUUUACUUUACAGAGUUAUCUCCAAAAACACCAGAGCAGACACACAGGAGAGCAGCCGUAUCACUGAGUGUGGUGUCGGGGUCAAAGGCUAUCCCUUUUAACCCCAGGCCUCCAACAUUGUAUUACUAAAAAAGAAAUCUUUAAUACUGGAUAGACACACUAAUAACAGAAAUCAAAAUCUAAGUUCUCAAAAGAUGUCAAAAAGGAAAAAGUGUUCAGAUGCUGAGUUUGUGGAAAAAGAAAAAGGCUUCCUCUUUAUUCCAGCAUUGAUGGCACGCAGGUCUUGAGAGACCCAACUGCGUAAAUACAGUGUUCUGAUAGCACCUUAUAUACCCUUAUCUGGGGUUAUGAUGUCACCUCAAACUUGAUGUUCCAUUAGUCCCCAUGCAAAAACUUCUCCAUCACUUGGCCUCUCUUAAGUUCACUACAUACAACACUUCUUCUAAAAAAGCUGGUUUCAGCCAGUUCGUACCAGUGUAUCUGAGUGUACCAGGCCCUACAGGACCAUAUAUCAUAGAGUUCACUGAGAGUGCACCUGCAAGUAAGGUCAUCUAAUUUCAUCUACUUUUGGAAAGCCCUCGAAUGGGCAGACCCAAUGGCCCAGUGCGUCCUGUAUUACCUCUCAGUGAGACAUUAAUAUUCCCUUUUAGCCAAUGCUUAACUAUUUGAUUACUGGUUACAUGUGUAGUCUAUUUACUUAUUGAUUAAGGGUAUAUUUAUUCAAAAUUUCCCAUCAGUGGAAAGAGUUUUAGUCAACAGAGCAGUCUCCAAUCACACCAGUAUGCUCACAGAAGAGAGAGACUGUAUCACUGUAGUGUGGGAAAAGCUGUAGAAGCUGAAAUAGUCCUGUAACACAGCAGUGCAUUCACACAGGAGUGAAUCUGCACCACUGCUUUAAGUGUGAAUAGAACUAAAUGUAUUUGAGUACCUUAAAGAGACACUAGCGCACUUGGGGGGAGAUAAAUCAUUAUUUAUUGUUAUUCAAAAAUAAAUUGGUUCCACAAGAUGUUUACUGCAGUAUUUGAGCACCGAUACUAAUUUUAGCUGAUUUAAAGUGAAAAAGGAUUCCCAGAAACCAUGUUUACAUUAAUGAAACCAGGAAAACAGUUAGUUACUGACAGUUAAAGUGCUUGGUUUUUAUGUUUAAUCAGAAGAUUUCAUUGAGAUUUGAGUGGGGUUUGAUGGAAGUUUAAACUCUGUUUAGUUUAAACAAGCUAAAUCUAGCAUUAAAGCUAACACUGAAGCUAGUCUAUGCAGGAUUAUAUACUGAGGACACUCCGUCUUGUAGAUCACUGACUGUGGUACUCUGUUUCAGUUAAUCCAGAACUUUUCCAGCUUCAGGAAUGACAGAAACAGCGUUGUUCUCAUUGCAGGUUUGUUCAGAGGAGUUUUGUCACCUUGUUUUAGAUUGACUGAUCAUUUUCAUUUUCUAAAUCACAUCAUUAUUUAAUUCAGUUAUCUCUAAAAGAUGUUCAGUGUAAAUUGUUUGAACAUAGAUUCCACAUAAUCUGUUUACAAUUGUGCUUGAACGUGAUAUAAAAUAGCAGCAAAGAAAUUGUUGUUGGACUCAUUUGUUAAGUCUGUCUAAUUGAUGUAGCCCAGUUCACAAAAGUGAAAGCCUCUCACCUUUCAUUGCUCAGUAUUCUCAACCUUCAUGUACAUAUUUAAAUAAAAUA